rnacentral:rRNA from 1 species
UACGUAGGGACCAAGCGUUGUUCGGAAUCACUGGCUUAAAGGGCGCGAGUAGGCGGGCCGGCCAGUCGGAGGUGAAAGCCCCAGCUCAAACUGGGGAAGCGCCCUCGAUACUGCCGGCCUGGAGGGAGGUAGGGCGUGCGGAACUUCCGGGUGGAGCGGUGAAAUGCGUAGAUAUCGGAAAGGAACACCGGUGGCGAAGGCGGCACGCUGGGCCUCUCCUGACGCUGAGGCGGCGAAAGCCAGGG